GUUCAAAACAUCUGCGCAGAUAAAGCCCUAAACUCCACAGUCUACUUACUCCACUACUUCAGUAAUCCUAAUUUCUCUUUCUCCUCUAACAUCUCUCAUCUCUGCGCCUCCAUUGCCAUGCGCCAUCUGCCCAUCCAUCGCCAUCGCCAUCGCCAUCUUCUCCACUUCAGUCGAGACUCGAGACUCCAGGUUGACAAUGGACUUGGUAUGAGAGAGCAGUUACACAAUCAUCUUCCGGAUCAUUUUGUCUCAUCCCCAAUUAUAAAAGGAAGUAAUAAAGAGUGUUUUAAGGCGUACUACUAUUGCAGAUGAAAGGAGUGUCAAUCAUAUGUUGGGUAUAUAAAGGAAGGAACGAAAAGAUGGACCUCACAAAUAUUGGAUGUUGCACUUCAUGUGUCUCGCAAAUUAUUUAACAACUUGUGCCGUCAAUUACUUUCCGCAAUUUUAAUGCUUUGAAAUCGACCCUUUUCCUCGAUUUUCUAAUCUAGCGCUUCUAUUAGAUAUCGUCUUUUAACUAUUGGUUACACAAUUUUAAAUAAGGAUUCUCUAUUUAAAGUUGCUUAACAUAUAUAUAAAACUUGUCUCAUAGUGAUCACUUUAUACAACACUAAUGUAGAAACCUGUGUAAUGCACAGUUAUUUUAGCAUCGACGUAUAUAAACAUAGGAUAUUAAAGAAAUAAAGCCAGAAAUAUUAUGCAGUUGAAACACUUAAUUUUAACAG